rnacentral:rRNA from 1 species
GGGGAAUAUUGGGCAAUGGGCGAAAGCCUGACCCAGCGACGCCGCGUGAGGGAAGAAGGUCUUCGGAUUGUAAACCUUUGUCAACAGGGACGAAAAAAUGACGGUACCUGUGAAGGAAGCCACGGCUAACUACGUGCCAGCAGCCGCGGUAAUACGUAGGUGGCGAGCGUUAUCCGGAAUUACUGGGUGUAAAGGGUGAGUAGGCGGGGAAGCAAGUCAGAUGUGAAAUACAAAGGCUUAACUUUUGAAUUGCAUUUGAAACUGUUUUUCUUGAGAGUCGGAGAGGUAAUCGGAAUUCCUAGUGUAGCGGUGAAAUGCGUAGAUAUUAGGAGGAACACCAGUGGCGAAGGCGGAUUACUGGACGACAACUGACGCUGAGACACGAAAGCGUGGGGAGCAAAC